CACAGAGCAGGUUAUUUCGACCUCAUGCAAACGGGUCACCCUGGGUCAGGAAGCCAGAGAUGGAGAUCUGUGGAGUCUGGUGUGUGGCCAUGUUCCUCUUAGGAGCAGGACAAACAUAUGCUGAGAUAACUCAAACACCCAGUGUGGUGCUGGAGGGAAAGCGCACAGCUUACCUGAGGUGCAAGCAGAACAAUGGCCAUGAAAACAUGUUCUGGUACCGGCAGAAUCCACGGCAGGGGCAAGGCCUGCAAUUCCUCUUUUUCUUCCAGUACCAACAAGAGACAGAGAGAGCUGCUAAUUUUAGCCGCUUCAAGGCUAACAGAGCACAAGAUGAUGUCCUGUACUUGAACAUCUCCUCUGUAGAGCCAGAGGACUCGGCUGUGUAUUUCUGUGCCACCAGUCGCUACACAGCACUUCAGAGUCACUUUCUCUCUCUACAAAAACCACUUCUGUUGCUUGUUUUUUUUGCAGCCUGGUAGAGAAAGCUAGCAGCUGACUGCCAGCACAUGGAGUGUAUCAAUUGCCUUCUCCUGUGAGCAGUGGAGAGAGAAGCCAGAACAAAAGAAGGGAGGUCAGAUCAGCACCUUUGA